GCCUAAGGGGCCGUAGCUGGCUAAGUUAGUCCCCUGUUAAAUCCAACGAAUUAAUCGUUGGAUCGCGGGGGAUACUGCUUGGCUAGGGGACGAGAGAGGCAGACGGUAUUUCCGGGGUAGGGGUGAAAUCCUAUAAUCCCGGGAAGACCACCAGUGGCGAAGGCUGUCUGCUAGAACGCGCCCGACGGUGAGGGAUGAAAGCUGGGGGAGCGAACCGGAUUAGAUACCCGGGUAGUCCCAGCUGUAAACGAUGCAGGCUAGGUGUUUGGACGGCCACGUGCCGUUCUAGUGCCGCAGGGAAGCUGUUAAGCCUGCCGCCUGGGGAGUACGAUCGCAAGAUUGAAACUUAAAGGAAUUGGCGGGGGAGCACCACAAGGGGUGAAGCUUGCGGUUUAAUUGGAGUCAACGCCGGAAAUCUCACCGGGAGCGACAGCAGUGUGAAGGCCAGAUUAAAGGUCUUGCCAGACGAGCUGAGAGGAGGUGCAUGGCCGUCGCCAGUUCGUGCCGUGAGGUGUCCUGUUAAGUCAGGCAACGAUCGAGACCCGCGUCCUCUGUUGCUACUAGCCUUGUGCUGGGCACACUGAGGAGACCGCCACUGAUAAAGUGGAGGAAGGAGCGGGUCACGGCAGGUCCGCAUGCCCCUAA
rnacentral:rRNA from 1 species